rnacentral:rRNA from 1 species
UACGGAGGGUGCAAGCGUUAUCCGGAUUCACUGGGUUUAAAGGGUGCGUAGGCGGGCAGGUAAGUCAGUGGUGAAAUCUUCGAGCUUAACUCGGAGACUGCCGUUGAUACUAUCUGUCUUGAAUAUUGUGGAGGUGAGCGGAAUAUGUCAUGUAGCGGUGAAAUGCUUAGAUAUGACAUAGAACACCCAUUGCGAAGGCAGCUCACUACGCAAAAAUUGACGCUGAGGCACGAAAGCGUGGGGAUCAAACAGG